ensembl:lncRNA
CUGGCUGUGCCUGGGCUCCGCACGGCUGCUCCUCUCCCCGGUGUCUGUCAGAGCCACUCUGUGGCAGCUGAUGCAGCUUCUGAAACCUCUGAGGCACUGGGGAGGACGGUUCUGUGUGGCGGGGAGCUCUGGGGCCGUCAUCAGAGAGAUGUCAGGGAUGAGGGCACCCACAGCAAGCAGCUCCUCUGGGGGCCGAGCUGAGGCAGGACUUGCCUGAGCCCAAACAGGCACUGCUGGUGAUGACCUGUGAAGUGUUCACAGCACGUCUGGCACAGAGCAAAGCCAUCCAAGAAGCACCCGGCUGUGGCAUGGAGGAUUAAGCCCUGCUACCAGCCCCAGCAUCCCGCUGCCUUUGGUGGGAGGAGAGCAGAGCAUGGAGUCCUUCACUGGGCUGGAGAGAUCUGCCAGCUGUGUGCAGCAGAGAGAAACUGGAUCCCUCAAGUUCGGAUGAAAGCGUGAGGAGAAGGUUUAUACAGUUAGCCACACUUUGAGGCCACUUAAUCUCUCUUCCACUGAGGAAAAGAGAUAUUUCAAAUACAGACAGUAAAAAAGGACUCCAAAAGUAUAAAUAAAUGUUAUACUGCUCAGGACACUCUUUGUGGAAGAGCUGAGAUAGUGACAGGACAAGAGGGAAUGGCUUUAAGCUGCGUCAAGGGAAGCUGACAUUUGGUCUUGGUGAUCUUAGUGGUCUUUCCAACCCUACUGAUUCUAUGAUUCUGUUCUAUGAUUCUCAACCAUGGUUCUGCUGAAUGUCCCACAGACAGACCCACCGCACUGGAAUGCUGGUCUGCCUCCUGAGGUUUAUUUAGCAGCAGUGCAAUGCCCCAUCCUGGCCCGAAGGGAGAGGAACAGGAGCACAGCAUCAAGAGAGAGGUGUGUGCUGCACCUGGAGCCUUCAUCGCAUUUGCACAGACACUUCUGCACCGAGACUGGGCUGUUGCAUUAGAGUUUGCUUAGGUCAAAGGGAAAUUAGGAUUAUUCCUCAAAUAACAAAUGUUUAAG